UCAACUUCUAAAAAGGAAACCAGACCAGAACUCAAAUAUAACAAAUUAAGCUCAAGGGAAAGCAAGCGAUGAUUAUGGCUCUCAACACUUAUCUUUUUUCACACUGUCCCCAUUUAGGGAGUGGAAAGGCUGUAGUUCACACAGCUGAUGAAGGAGGCAGAGUUGGGCUCGAUUCCCAAGCCAGUGCACUUUCUUCAUUAUGUUCCAUCCCUAAGAGACAGAAAGGCCAAAAGAUUACAGCAAUUCUCUUCAUAUGUGCUAUUUUGGAAAGCAGCUUCUAUUUUCAAACUUUUGUCCAGAAUAUGUGUAUGACUUCUUGGAUUGAUUCUAAGAAAAUAGGUGGAGAAGAAAGAAUCCAGAAAUAUUGAGUCUGUAUUAUUUCACGAGGAUAAACUGUUCAACAUAUGAAAUAGCUAAAGAUGACAUGAGGCAUCUUUAUUUAUGAGGCAACUGAUCCUACACCUGACUUCCAUCAAGAAUGUCUAUGCAUCUAGGGGCUAAGCAUCCACU
rnacentral:lncRNA from 1 species